GGUGCUACCAGUAUCCAAGUCUAAGCUCCUCUGACUUUAGGCUCUCGGUUCCUCUGCUUUCAGUUAGCAGGUUUUAUUUUAGAGCAGAGGAAGCCUUAGUCGAGUUUGGAAGGAGCUGGUUUUAGUUUUAUAUGUAUAGAUCCUAAAUUAGCAAUUUGAUGUUUAGCUUUGUAGUAUUGUGUAUAUUAGGAUCUAAAGAAAGUUGUGUACCUUAAAGUAUUAAGAGAUGUAUUAUGUGAAAGUGUGGAAAUUAAAUGAUUGGUGGAUUAUGUUA